rnacentral:pre_miRNA from 2 species
ACUCCCCGCCGGAUUUGGCAGAGGGGAGGGCUCCGCCGCUACCUCCCCUCCCGUCGGAUCUGGCGGAGGGG